rnacentral:rRNA from 1 species
ACUCCUACGGGAGGCAGCAGUGGGGAAUAUUGCACAAUGGGCGCAAGCCUGAUGCAGCAACGCCGCGUGAGGGAUGAAGGCCUUCGGGUUGUAAACCUCUUUUAUCAGGGAAGAAGCGAAGGUGACGGUACCUGAAGAAAAAGCACCGGCUAACUACGUGCCAGCAGCCGCGGUAAUAC